AUCGGCGGCUACGAAUGGUGCGUCCGCUACUACCCCGAUGCCGAGGAGGGCGAAGGCCAUGUCUCUGUCUACCUCGAGCUCUUGACCAAGAUUUUGCUUGCGACACGGUCGGCGGUCUUCGACGCGGAGUACUACGGGCCGAUGGGGGGCAAAGGGGCACAGGACAUAACUAUUGACGACAUGCAGCCUGCUGUUUUCAAGUCAUUUCUUCACUUCAUCUACACGGAUUCAAUGCCUUCCAUGGACGAUCUCGAGGACGAUGACAAAAGAGAAAUGGUUAAGCACUUACUUGUGGCUGCAGAUAAGUAUGCCAUGGAAAGGAUGAAGAUGGUAUGUGAACGCAUGCUAUGCAAGAGUCUUGAUGCUUGCAUUGAAUUUAUGCUCUCUUCGAAUAGAAUGAAUGAUGCGGUCGCAAGCCAAGGGUAUGUACAACUCAAAAGAUCUUCGCCUGAUAUCAUUGUAGAUGUGUUGGAGAGGGCAGCCAAGUCCCGCAAAAUUUAG
rnacentral:rRNA from 1 species